CUCAAAGCGACCCUUCUUGGGUGGCAUGUUUCUAAAUUCGACUCUUUGGGAUUGGCAACAGGAAGACUAGAUAUCGUGCCCUAAUAGAAGACGGACCUCAUCAGUCAUCCCCCUCUCCGAGAUAGGAGUAAUUUGGUUUGGUCUACAAUCUCCGAUCCGAAGUUCUCUGUUGCGCGAAAUUUCGCGGGAGAAAUUGAAGCCAGGAGCGGAGAUGGCCGGCCGCUUGUUGAUUCAGAAGCUCUCCUCCGGGGUGUACAUCAGAUCGACAGGACGCCUUGGCAUGGCCGUCGCCCCGGUCACACGCACUGCUUCGGAAGGUGGCGUUAGUACCUUGAGCAAUUUCUUCCACCGAGUUGCACUUCAUCCUGGCAUGGCGGUAACCAGUAGCAGUAGGAUUCAGGGCUAUUUAAGUAGCUAUCUUUUCUUCUUCACUCUGCCUUUAAUUGCUGACGUUGAUCUAUUUUACAAAUAACGAACUUUUCCCCAAUAAAACCAGCAAACUGUUUUAGUGUCAGCACUUACAUCAAUCACACAACUAAGUUCCACCUGAGGUACUUGUUAUGAACACUCAACUGAUCAGUAAAACGAGCUCCGAUUGCACUUAUGAGCCAUCCACCCACAUAAUCCUUGGAGCUUCUUGCACCUUCUGCUCCAUUGUCUCAUAUAAAGAUCCAUCUGCACAUUAGUACAAUCCAAUUCAGCAACAUUUUAAAAGACAGCAUUUACAAUUGGUUCCAUAACAAUUGUCCUCCUAGGAAGGCAUCAUCAGAACCCUCGACAAUCUUUUCCAUGUAGUUGGUCUUCAUAUUACAGGCAUGGAUGCUCCCAAUAAUCAUUGAUUACAUUGGUACUAAAUUUUCUUUGCGUUAUGUACUCCUUCCGUCCCAAAAUAUGAGGCACAUAUUGUUUCAUUAGGAGAUGACUUACAAGUUACAAUUGCUCUACUAUGUCACUUAGGUCAUGCAAAAUCAUAAUCAUAAGUAAGUACUUUGAAACAUGAAUCUAAUAACAUUGUUUUCGGAUCACAAAGUUAGUUGGUUCAUCUCAAGCUGGCUUAGACAUCUUCUACUCCCGUCGUUCCAAAUUACGAUUCACUUUAGGUUCACCCUAAGUCAAAGUUGUCUAACCUUGACCAAAUUUUUUGAAAGAUAUAAUAACAUCUAUGAUACCAAAUUUAUUUUAUUGAAUCCACCAUGGAAUAUAUUUUGAUAGGGAUUUUAUUUGUUAUGGUAGAUAUUAUUAUAUUUUAUAAGCUUUAUCCAAGUUAGACAAGUUUGACGUAGGAUAGGACAACCCCAAGGUGAACAGUAAUUUAGGAUGGAGGGAGUAAUAGAUUAAUCAUUGGUCAAAGGCUUGUCGUAACAAAGUAAAACACGCCUUAUAUUUGGGGGAGGAGGGAGUAUUAUUUAGUGGACAAAUUUCUUUGCUUUGUGGGGUUUUCUUCAGAUUCUCUAUCCCUUGUAUCUUUGAGGAUUUAAGAUGUAAGUGUAACAAAGGUUUUAUCAGUAUUAUCCUGCGUAGUCUAUGGAAAGAAAUAUCUAUAUCAAGUGUGUUUCUGACUUCUAAUCCUGCCUAAUGCAGGCUGUAAGGUACUUCAGCAUAGUCCCCUGCUCCCAUGCUGAAGUUAAAACAAUCUGGCCAAUGAAGCGGGCUUUUUCGUCCAGUUCAUUCAACAAGCAUAAGGUUUCAUCUGAACCUAAAAUGACACCUCGGUGAAUUAGUGUAGCUGACUCACUCCGAAGGCUCCAAUGGAGCCGCUCAAUUCAUGUCCGUGAUGAUUUCCUCACUAUCAAAGCAAUGGAGGGCGACCACAGCUAUCUAGGAAGUCGCGAGGCCUAUGGUGCCAGCUACUACGGCCAGAUGCUCUGGAGAGCAGUGUGGACUGAGAUGCCACGGCAGGCAGGCGGCAUGGGAAGCGUGAGGCUGUAGCAGGAUGCCGAAAUUGCCGACGCCGACGAUCGGGCGACGGCAGCUUGCUCUCUGGCUCUCCCUCACUCUCAGCCGUGCGAGCACACCUCGAGCUUCCAAGAAAACUUUGGCCCGGAGUGGAUGCAAAAAUUCCUGCGUUUUGUUGAGCAAAGGAAAGGAAACCUUUCCAUAGGAACGGGAAGCAAAAAACAUGUUCACCAAUCCUUUGAAAUUCCUUUGGAAAUACUCCGUUCCAAACAAGCCCGAAGGAAACGUUGAAUCUUCCUUGCACGUCCGACUGUCAGCAACAUGGAAAGGAUUCAGACAUUCAGCUAUACAGGUAGGAUGGAUUUGGAUGUCUUGGGGGAUUUCCUGGCAUUCUUGGUAAUCAAGCGACUCGUGUGGCACGGUAGACAUCAAGUCAGCAAGGCGUCCCUUCGAAUGAGCAAUUGAGUACUCGAUGUCCUCAACAUCAAGCAAGAGUUGGUGCUGCAAGCGCCUUGGAUGUCCAACUGUCCGGUUCUCGACUUCUCGUCUUCGGCCGGCGUCCUUGCAGAGGCCGCAAGGGCGUCGAUCAAAUGCUGUUUCCUGCUAUGAUUAAGUGAAGCUUUGUGGUCUUUUCUAAUUUAAAAUGGGGUGCUACUUUCGUAUUGAAGAGCCCUCUCAGAACUGAAUCAUAACUAUCUGAGGUCCAACAAGGUCCCAUUUUCCUCAUUAUCCAAUCCGCAAUCUUCAGAGUUCUGAUCAUAUGUAGCACAAGACAUCGUCUUGGUAUCAAAAAAGGCUCAUUUGCCUCGGUCAUUCGCUUCAUUCCAACUGAUGACUUCUCUUUUUUUUCCCCUUAUGAGUGACCAAAUACUGAUUCUGCCCAGCAGUUGCACAACCA